GGAUGGUUUGCCUAGUGGUCGAAGGCAGCAGGCCGUUAACCUGCCAGGGUAGUCCUCACCGUCCGUCCGAAUCGGACACCAUCCGCCA
rnacentral:tRNA from 1 species